ensembl:lncRNA
CCUGAAGAUUGCAAUGGAUCAGCAAAAUGAAUACCAAUAACUACAUAGAUGAAAUACAAGGCUUGGGGACUUGGGUUGAACAAAGCCAGGGUCAUCUGCAAAUGUGCUGGGUGCCAGGCAAUGAUAAUUAGUGCUUUGGCUGAAUACACAGUGGUACAGAGUCUGCAAAAGAGAGAGAUAAGCUAGCUCCCGUGCAUGGUCACCGUAACCCAGAGACUUGGCACAGGUGAGCAUCUGAAAGGGGUGGCUAGAGUAAAGCUGGACCUAGCCAUUUCUUCCCAGGAAGAACAGGACAGGGACAAGGAAUAAGAGGCCCAGAAAUCAACUGGAUCCCUGUAACCUGUGGGCACUGGCUGUGAGGGUCCUGAGAGUUGCCCUGCAUAUCAAUCUGCUUAUCAUUGCAUCAAAGACAUUCCCAGGCUGUCCUGUCUCUGUUGCCACAAGUAUCAGAGGGCUGGCCAGGAGCACCUGUCCCCAGAGACCGAUUGUGUUGACAAGUAGAACUGCCUCAAAGGGCACACGCUCCGAAAGCAGUCAUUUCCUGCUGAACAUGGUGGCCUUCCAGGGAUAGCAACGCCUGGGCUUCUGAGAUCUAAAUCCAAUGAGCGGUUUCCAGGGAGAAAACGCCUCUCUCCCAGGCCUGGUGCAGGACAAGGAAAGAACAUUGCCAUCUCCAUGCAAACAAUGACACAGCGGCCACAAGAGACCUCCUGCCACCAGAUCCAUAUAAGGCCCCUGUCAUAGGUGGAAGCCCGUAUCUCCUGCUUGACUUGUGCCUUCAGAUCCCACAGUUGGAACUUGUCCAUAGACUGGAAACUCACACCUUAUCCUUCCACUGUCUCUGGAGUUUGUUGGGAAGAGCUUUGUUUUCUCCUCUUGUGGCAUGGCUAUGUAGGGGUCAGUCAGUGCACCUCGAAUGGCACGGGGUGCAAGUUCAAAUGAGUGAGUCCCAUACUUGGUCUGAGUGACUGUGCAGGUGCGUAUAAUAAUGAGUGUGUGCAUGCCAGUAUGUUUGAUUGUGUGUGAGAGAGAGUGCCCUGUUAGCUCCCGAGUGUGUGUGCGCAAGUGCCUGUGCAUAUACCGUGAGUGUGUGCCUGUGUGCUUGUAUGUGUGCCCUAGGUUGUGUCUGGGUGGUGAAUGUGAGCACUUAGUGAACAUGUAAGUCUGUAUACACGUGUAUACCUGUGUAGCUGUGUGUGCCUUUCUGAGUGUGGUUGAAUGUUGAGAGUAGAAACCCAUGUGUUUGAGUGCGUGGGUGCAGAAGCACGUGCCUUUAUCCUUCCAUGCUUGGUUCCAAGGUCCAAAGAAGCCAGCCAGCCUCGAGCUCCCCAGCCAUGAAGGGAACCCUCGCCCUGGACCCGCUGGGCACGAGGGGGCGCCUCGCUACCGUAGCCGGGACGCGCUGGCCCCGGCGGCCCGGGGGCGGCUCACGGGGCGGUGCCGGACUCUUGAGCUGUGGGCUCUGGGGACGCUGCGCUCAGCCCCGAGGAGCCACGGCCCGGCACGCGGAGCAAGCAGCCAGAAGCCCGCGCCGGAGGUAAAGUUGAAUUUCCAGUGUGUGACGGGAUCGGAGUCUGCUCCGAUCGUCCCUGGGACCGGUCGGGAAAGGGGUCUGUGCGGCGGGUCCCGAGUCCGAGCGGAGUGUGGGCACCUGUCCGCGGGGCGGCCACAGGAGGGAACGCAGCCCGGUUAGGAUGACUGGGCGCGCUGAGGGAGCCAUAGCCCACGGAGGGGCGCUCGAGGGGUCGGGCCGGGCGGAGGCAAGCGCCGCGGGGUCGCCCGCGCUCCGCGCGCUUGCUGGAAGCCGGAGGUGCGCUUUCAUGGAGGUUCGGGCGGCCACCGGAGGCUCGGUCCUGCUGCCGCCCCGUCUGCCCGCGUCGGUUCUACCAGAUUCUGGGGGUUUGAGAGGCGUUGACAGAGAUCUCAUGAGAUGGCACCAGAUGAAAAUAGUCAACUAGGAUGAGCCCCCACUUGGAAACCGUGAUCAAGGGUAAGGAACGUGACUGUCGAGUAAAGGUGCAUUGCCUGGGAAGAAGCAAGGGUCUGCCACAGACCGUCCGAAGGCAGCAUCAAAUGGAGACAGCAUUACAGUAGGACAGAAGAUAGGAUGUGGAGGAAGUAGCAAAGGAUGAGCAUUCAACUGCAGAUCCCCCUGUAGUGUUCUGGCAAUGCCGUCCCUGGUUAUGGGUUGGGGAAGCUGGCGUGAGGGAGCUGUUUUUGGAGAUAACACUAAGUUUCAUGUACUAAAAUCUGCAUGAUGGGUAUGUGUGGGAAGGUACCAUCGUCCUUGAGAGAGCUCGAAGCCUCAUAAUGUGCCUCACGCUUACCUGCCUGCCUUGUGGGGGCAGGCGACUAGCGUGUGAAAGCCGGAUUUUCUUAAAGUUUGGAGUGUCCAUCUUUCUCCUAUAGGAACAUUGUCCUACUGUCACCUCCAGCGGCUGCUGUUCACAUCAGGGAGGUUUAUAGGAAGGCAGGUGAUCUCUGUGCCAGCAGCAGCCCUGUCCACUGCUCACUGGGCACAAUGGGUGCCCACAUGCCUCCUCUCAAGCAUGCCCGCUUCAGCCUGGUUCCUGAGUCUCUCCAUGCAUGCCACACUCUGCUCAGUUCUGGGGGUCCUGCCUGCCUUCUCCCCUUCCCUCCCUCCCCUUUCUACAUCUGCCCACUCUUCCUGCUCACUCCUCCCCUUACCCUCACCUACUCAUCCUCCCCUUCCCUCCCUCCCUCCCUCCCUCCCUCCCUCUUCCCGCUUUCUCCCUCUUUCCCAUCAUAACCCACCUUUACCGGCUCCCCCUCGCUCUACCCUCCUCUCCUUCAGCAUCUUUCCCUUUCUUCCUUCCUCUUCCCAGCGCCCUCUGGAGUUUGUUUUGUGUGUUCUUCCUGGGUUCUUUCCGAUACCUCACAUGUGGACAAGAGAGGUGGGCAUGACUGGUGAUGACGGGCACGGUGUGGCCAAGCCUGGACCCUGUUCUUCCCACUCGGUCCCUGGUCCUCCAUCCAUAGCGUGGAGAGUCCUCUCCUGCACACAGGGUGGGUGCUCCUGGAACCACACACGGGUAGAUGAAGGGGGGUGUCUUUCCUGCAGCCUUGCUUUGUGUCACCCAUCCCUUCCCAUAAGCUGAGCAGGCUGACCCCAAGGUGCUGUGGUGGUACACCCUGAGCUGCCUGCCUUAAUACCUCAAGUAGCACAGCCCACAGGUUUGGGGUGGUGGUGGUGCAUAAUUGCCCCAAACACCGGCAAUGGAGGAAGGAUGUUUUACAAUGUCCUCCGCUGUGUAUCCCAGCGCUCCUCAAGCCAGCCAUUAAAAGCAUCUUGAUGUCUAACUUGAGUCCCUUCACUGCAGUUUGUUGACUGUGUUACCAUUGCUGGGAAUUUUUAUUGAGAUUCUAAUUGUUGUUUUUCCUUCAACACCCACACUGUUAGUACUGUGUUUGGAAAGUGAGAAAUCACAGAAUGUGAGUUGCAGAACAAACCCCAAAUUUGUUUGGCCACAAUAGUCUAAAAGAAGCAAACUUUCCCUCAGAUGUUGUCUCACUGGCAGACACAGCUGAGGAAGUCAGUGGAUUGUGUGAGUGAGAGCAUAAGAGGACCAGAGGCUUCCACCUGGUCUGGUCUGCUUCUGAAGAGCAAGAAGAUGCCCCCCCCCAAUGCAUUUCAGGGGCUGGAAGACGGAUCAGGUGUCUCAUGAGAAGCUCCACAGGAUUCCACCCUCCCAGUCUUGUGGUGCCUCUGAAAAUCUCCUGCUCAGUCAUGAGGCGCCAUCCUUGGAUGCAGGCAGAGGCCAAAUGGGAAACCUGGGCUCUGCCCACCUGCUGGUCAUGAGCUGCUGUUCAGUGCCUUGCAGCAUGGAGUCAGCCACAGUGGAGCGUCUGGCAACAUGGGACACAAGUGUCCAGAUUCCAGCAAAGAAGUCUCCCAUCACACAAAGAAUCGGGAAGAUCUCCAAAUGAGAGAGGAAGGUCAAUCAGCAGAUAUGAAGUCACGAUGACCAGACCCUAGAGUUACUGGACAGUGACGUAAGCUGCUAUUGUGGAGAUGCUCAGGUGAGCAGAGAUCUGGUGGCAAUGUGAGCUAGCAGGGCCUCCACAAUGGAACAGAAUACAUAAAUAAAAACUGACUAAACUGAGAAAUAUAAGAAGUUAAAUGGAAUUCUCCAGGGAUGGGCUCAGAGGCUGUUGGCAUAAACAGAUGAGAGUUAUUGAACCAGAGAGAGAAUGACCAACCCAUUGAGCUUGCUCUUCAGCUGUAACAACAAAUUCGGUGGUGAUACUCAGUUUGGGCAUGCUAAGGACCCAUCUUGCUGGAGGGAUGCAAAAUGGUCCAGCUUUUCUGGAAGAUACUUUGGCAGUUUCCUUUAGAAAUAAACUUGCAACAGUCAGCCAAUAUAGUAAAAAAUGAUAACUCAGACCUUGGUCUAAUUUAAAACUUUUUCUCUCUCCAGAGUGGGGCAGGAGGGUUGGGGCAUGCAGGGAUGUUUGUAGCAGCUUUGUUCACAAUAACAAAGUCCUGGAAAUAAGCAAAAUGCUCUUCCGCUUCUGAAUGCUUGGUUAAACUAUAGUCCAUCCUGCCAAUUAGGUGUGAAAAGGUGUCAUGUGCACAGAGGGCCAGGUCAUCUGUGCAGUGACGAGCAGAUCUCAAAAUAAUCGGACUCCGGGGUUCUGUUUUCUCAGCCUCCCAGAAUGGCUUGACUGUGGGACGAGAGAGCAGGCUGGUGACAUGGGGGGGGGGGUAAAGAGUGCUAUGGCAGGAGUAUGGUGUGUGCGGGCGGUGGAAGCAAGCAAAUGCUGGUAAGCUGGGUACUCUGGGUACUCAGCUAUAGGUUUUCAGGAGGUGUCUGUUGUAUUGCUGGGGAGAGGGGCGGCAGGAUCUCUCUGUGUUAUACUGAUGGUUUUAUGUGAGUCUGCAGAAAUCACAGUGUUAAAAGUCUCCGGGACAGUGACAGUAGCCUUGCCUUGUGCAUAGGAGCCAUUAGUCACCAGGUUCCCUCGUGCCUAUGGAUUUGGAGAGUAUGUCCCAUUAAUCAUAACUGAAAAACAUUUGUCAAUUUCUCUGUCAACAUUAUGGCUAAAAAAAAUGGAUCUAAUUAGCAAGCUCUCAGUCCAGUUCAUUACACACUCUUGUGCAUAUAUGAAAAUUAACACUUGGUAAUUGUGUCCCUUUGACAAAGGAAGUAAACCCAUUUCAAAAUAAAAUGACUGAAUUCAUAUAUGAGUUUAAGACUCAGAAAGAAAUUGUAGGAAUAAUAUUAACAUUCCAACUCAUAGUUUUACCACAAGCAUCUCCUGAAUCAUAUUUUACUUAAAACUGUUUACUUUAAAGCCAGGUGUGGUGACACAUGCCUAUGAUGUCAGCACUGGGGAGGCUGAAGCAAGAAGAUUGUUUUAAGUUCAAGACUUGCCUGGACAACGACAUAGUAAGAUCCUGUCUCAAACAAACAAACAAAUAAAAAUAUCUACUUCAGCUCCUUUCUCAACUUAUAAGUAAUCAUUACCCCAAUCCAUAUGAUGUUUUCAUUGGUAGAACAGGUAAAACUGAAAAUUAGCAAAUGUUGAGUAUUGACCUCCUGGUCGAUGGUCAGACGCUUUGUAAUUUUAAACGUUUCUCAGCUGCAGUCAUUCAAGAAUUGGUUAAGGGAAAGCGAAUUUCGUUUAGGUCACACAUGGCCUGCACAUGUGUGAAAACCUGUACUCUCAAAGCUUGUCUCUGCCUGGAAAAAAGACAAGCCUAAUGGAAGAGACUAGAAUAUUUCCUUGAGUACCUACAGAUUCAACUCAUUCUCCUUAAACCAAUUUAUGAAAAUAUCAGAGUCACACAGAUGGUCACACCCAUGAAAAGCUUUAUAUGAAGCUGGGAAGAUAGUCUUGCCAUUCAAUCAUGAGGGCUUGAGUUCAGUCUCCCAGAAUCCAUGUAAAAAGCAAGGCAUACUGACACAUUCUUGUAAUCCCAGAGCUGGGAAGGCAGAGACAAGCAGAUCUCUGGGGCUUGUUGGCCAGCUAGUACAGCCAACUUGUUUUCUCCCUCAUACACUCACACAGGUGCGUGCACACACAAACACACACUUAGCUUUGUUUGCCUGGGUAUCCUUAGCAGGAAAGGAUACCUUAGCAGGAAAUAAUACCUUAGCAGGAAAGUCUUUACAUCCUUAAAUGGUUGAAGCCUAAGCUUAGACCAAAGUUAGCCUCAGAGACUCCUCUUUGGAGUGCUGCAGCUUGGUGUGACAGGUCCUCUGACACCUGCCUACCCCAGGCUCAAUCACUCCUGGUAUGAUUAUUUUCAGAGUCAUUCACUCCAUGAUACUGAGCGAGUUCUGGCCCUUGGCACCAUAACACGUUGUGUUGGGUACUGUUUAUAUCCAUGUUUGGAGUGACAAAUGUGGAUCAACUUCCUUGACUAUCACUUGGUGUGAGAAACACUUCUACAGUGACAAACUGAAAUGUCUAUGGAAGUCUCCAUGUGUCCUCUGGUCUGGAGACCACUUGGGUUAUCUACCUAGCAGGAACUCAUUAGUUCAAGGGGAAUACUUGCCUUUGGUUCUCCUCCAGCUCUGACAUUGCUUGUUAUGGGAUAUUUGGUUGCACUGUGAUUCUCCCAGAAUGUCAAUAAAGUUAAACAUUGAAUCAAGGGGCAGAGUCCAUGACUGGCUGAUCAGAAUUUACCAUAGAGAUUUUGGAGGGCCCAGAUAGAGAGGCACAGGAAGAGAUAGAGAGGUGCUUUGAAAGGUUUGCAGACUUUUCGAUCUGGGAAAGCAGAGAAAGGGUCAGAUAGUCGUUCUUCCACUGCUUUCUUGAUCUAUCAGAUUUGUGCAUCAAUAUCUGACUCCCACGUUUUUUAUUAAUAACAAAACUGUGUAGGUAAAGGCUUCAGCUGCUCACUUGCGUCAUUCCUCCCAUCCCUCAUUGCUUUAGUAGUUCUCACAGCCCAGGUGUCAUUCCAGCCUUACAGAGAGGCUGGCACCUGUGCCUGGUCCCUCAUGUCCAGGGCACCCCCUCCCCAGGAUACUUCCUGAGCUCUGGAGUCUAUGUUGGGUAGAGUGUCAGUCUGUGGCGUGUGGGGGAGGGGGAGCCCACGCUCACCCAUCUAUGCUACAGAGUUCACCCUAGUUGCAGCCUCCGCUCCCCUGACCUCCCUCCUCCCACUGUAGUGUCAUGCACACAUCUGUGCACACACAGAGGCUUGCACCCAGACACAUGGAAGCAAAACCUGUUAGCCACCUAACCCAUGCCCCUCCCCCACCUCGGCAAGCCCAUUGUCAUCCAGCCCCUCCUGAAGGCAAUUUGGGUUUGUAUGAGGUUGAUUUGUUCUAAUCCUUUGCUAUUUGAUAGAGCUCUCAAUAAAAUCAUUUGAUGAUUUUAGAGGAAAAGUAGAUAUUUAAUUACUG